rfam:Gossypium hirsutum cultivar TM-1 chromosome 8, whole genome shotgun sequence
GAGAGCACGGUACGAUGAAAGUUGUAAGCUGUGUUUGGGGGGGAGGGAGUUAUUGUCUAUCGUUGGCCUCUAUGGUAGAAUCGGUCAGGGGUUUGAGAGGCGGUGGUUUACCCUGU